UACGUAGGGUGCGAGCGUUGUCCGGAAUUAUUGGGCGUAAAGGGCUCGUAGGCGGUUUGUCGCGUCGGGAGUGAAAACCUCGGGCUUAACUCGGAAAGGUCAACUGAUACUGUGCGGCUAGAGUGCAGAAGGGGCAACUGGAAUUCUCGGUGUAGCGGUGAAAUGCGUAGAUAUCGAGAGGAACACCUGCGGCGAAGGCGGGUUGCUGGGCUGACACUGACGCUGAUGCGCGAAAGCCAGGGGAGCGAACAGG
rnacentral:rRNA from 1 species